GAUGAACGCUGGCGGCGUGCCUAACACAUGCAAGUCGAACGGAAUUUACAUGAAGCCUAGCGAUUGUAAAUUUAGUGGCGGACGGGUGAGUAACGCGUGGGUAACCUGCCUUGUACUGGGGGACAACAGUUGGAAACGACUGCUAAUACCGCAUAAGCGCACAGCUUCGCAUGAAGCAGUGUGAAAAACUCUGGUGGUACAAGAUGGACCCGCGUCUGAUUAGCUUGUUGGUGAGGUAACGGCCCACCAAGGCGACGAUCAGUAGCCGGCCUGAGAGGGUGAACGGCCACAUUGGGACUGAGACACGGCCCAGACUCCUACGGGAGGCAGCAGUGGGGGAUAUUGCACAAUGGGGGAAACCCUGAUGCAGCGACGCCGCGUGGAGGAAGAAGGUUUUCGGAUUGUAAACUCCUGUCGUUAGGGACGAUAAUGACGGUACCUAACAAGAAAGCACCGGCUAACUACGUG
rnacentral:rRNA from 1 species